CAGCAUGAAAAUCCACAUCAAUCAAUCAAUCAAAUGUAUUUAUAAAGCCCUUUUCACAUCAGCAGAUGUCACAAAGUGCAAUACAUAGCUGCCACUACAGUUUCCAAAUCUAUGAAAGGCAUUGCAGAAGUAGGCUUCUCCUGACUGGCAUGGAGCAAACUGCAGACAAUAUCAUCUCAAAUGUUAUACCCCAGCACUUUUACCUUCGGCCUAUGGGGUGCAUUUGUCAUUACUACUGGUGAAGUUAGUAUGUGAAAACGACUCUUCUCAAACAUACAUUCCCGGUCAGAGGUUCAAACGUCUGCUCAUUCAAGGGUUUUUCUUUAUUUUUACUACUUUGUAUAUUGUAGAAUAAUAGUGAAGACAUCACAACUAUGAAAUAACACAUAUGGAAUCAUGUAGUAACUAAAAAAGUGUUAAAGAAAUGAAAAUAUUUUUCAUAUUUGUAACGAUUUUCGUCCUCCUCUUCUGAGGAGGAGUAGGAAGGAUCGGACCAAUACGCAGCGUGGCCUUACUUGUUAGACUCCAGCAUUGUCCCAGAGGAGCCCCACCGAUCCCUGUUCCGUACAAUCCAACAUUCCUGAAUGCAUCUCACACCUCUCUUUUGGUUGUCGAAGACACUAAACCGACCCGAGCUUCCCGUUUCACUGUCACUGUGCUCAACGGCUCAGAUGGGAAAAUAGUUCCAUUGCUCCUGAAGAGCACAGACACCAUCGGCAAACUUCAGAGGAGGUUCCUACAGAAGCGGCCUGACCUGACGGGAAGCCUGAACCUCGCCUACAAACGGCAAGCCCGUCCAGGGGCACCAGAGCCUCGGAGAGCUGGGGGUGAAGAAUGGUGUUACCUUCAUCACUUUUCAGAGGUGUCUUGCAGGGUAGAUGUGGAGUAAAAGUGCAGCAAUAGAUGUGAAGGAGGGCUGUUUCCGUUGAUCUUUCCCUUCUCAUGCAAUAUGAACAAUAUCUGUCAAUUAAUUUGUGAUCUAUAAAGAAUAUUUGCAUUAGCCAUAUCGGGUGUUCUUUUUGCACUACAUAGUAGAUUCUUUAUGGUUUAGAAUACCAACCAAAGUGAUGUUGUAGCUUGCUGAGGGAGAAUGCACAAUGAAUAAUGUUAAUGCAUCUUUGUCCUUUCUUUAUGUUAAAGUAACUGUCCAGUGUUUCCAGACUUCUAUGAAAUAUGUUCUACAAUUACUUACAAUAUGAGCUAAAUAGUUUUUCUAUAGUAUAGUAAUAGUAAUUGAGUAUGUUAAAAGUAUGUUAAAAAGCAUAUUUUCUGUGUUGGUGUGUUGUGGGCGUACACCAACAUCAGAAAGGUGUCGACGUAUACCGCUUAUAAAGAAUAUUCUUGCGAGUAAGACUGCUGAUUGGCCAGCUCAUCUUCCUCAGGGAGAUAACAUUAUUUAUAUGAGGAAAUACUGUAGCAAGCAUUUUUUAAACAGCCUGUUUGAGAUACAAUUUUGAAUAUUUUUUUCAUGUUUUUUCUCUCCAAUUUAUGCUUUGGCCACAAACACAAGUAUUGGACAAAUCAACAACAUUAUUUGGAUAUGUGAGAAUAUGAACGUUUAAAAGUGAGUUUUUCACUGGGCAGUUACUUUAACUCCAUCCAGCACAACCAGAAGAGGACUGGCCACCCCUCAGAGCCUGUUUCUGCUUUAGGUUUCUUCCUAGGUUCCUGCCUUUUGAGGGUGUUUUUCCUAGCCACCGUGCUUCUACAUCUGCAUUGCUUGCUGUUUGGGGUUUUAGGCUGGGUUUCUGAAUAAGCACUUUGUGACAUUGGCUUUCUAAAUACAUUUGAUUGAUUGACUGAUUUAACUGUCUUGUUUUGCUCUUGCCUAGCUAUACUAUACACCGGUCACCAAUCAAUGUGAGUUAGUUCACCAAGUUAAAUGUAUCAUUUGUGAGGUUUUACUGAUAAUUUUGAUAAACCAUUGUCGAUUAAGAGUGGGCUACUACUGUAUCAGAAAUUGCUCAGUACUGAUUUCUUACUUUAUUGUAAAAAUACUAUAUAUUUUCAAUGACAACCAAUAAGGCUAGCCAAUCAGGAGGAUGAACAAAAUAAACUAUGUUGAAACAUAUUUUAUCUGCAUAUAUGGACAUUCUACUCACCCUUAAAUAAAUACCUAAUUAUUUCAAGUG